CUAAGUUCAGAGGCUGCAAGUUGCUAGGUUAGUGUGAGAGUGUAAACACUUGGGUUGGGAAUUAUAAGCUUGAUCACUAUAAGCUUACCAAACACUUGGGAAGUAAGGUUCUAUUCACAUUUCGGUUCAAGAUUUAGAUUGAUCAUAGAAGUGCUCAAGGAAAUCUAAGUUCUUGAGCACAAGGUUUUUGGAGUGUUCCAAGGUCCCAGAUCAGUUCUCAUAUCCUGGUUAUUUUGGUAAGGAAAAUAGGAUAGGAUUUAUGUGUUAUAUGAUUUUUAUAUGU